CAGAACGGCGUGAGCCAGUUCGGUCCCUAUCCACUGUGCGCGAAGGAAAUUUGAGAGGAGUCGCUCCUAGUACGAGAGGACCGGAGUGAACUGACCUCUGGUGUACCAGUUGUUCCGCCAGGAGCACACGCUGGGUAGCCAUGUCGGGCAGUGAUAAGCGCUGAAAGCAUCUAAGCGCCAAGCACACCUCAAGAUUAGAUUUCCCACGGAAACGGUAAGGCCCCCGGAAGACCACCGGGUUGAUAGGCCGCAGGUGUAAGUGCAGCAAUGUAUUGAGCUGAGCGGUACUAAUUGGCCGAGGGCUUUUGAACCUC
rnacentral:rRNA from 1 species